UGAGGAAGGAGAAGUCGUAACAAGGUUUCCGUAGGUGAACCUGCGGAAGGAUCAUUGUCGCAUCCUACUACUGGCACACCCGCGAACGGUUGACCCCGAACUCCGCGCCCCGGAGGGGGACGGGCGGGCCGCGCGAGCCCGCGCGCGUCCGCCUCCGCCCCGCCCGGGGUGCCCGCCCCGCCGCCCGCGCGCCGCCCCGGCGGCCGCGGGCCGGCGGGACGACCAACCAACCUCCCGGCGCGGUCUGCGCCAAGGAAUACCAACAGGAAGGCCGCGCGUGCGUGCGUGCGUGCACGCCGCGCUCGUCUCCGUAGUAAGUCGCAACGACUCCCGGCAACGGAUAUCUAGGCUCUCGCAUCGAUGAAGAACGUAGCGAAAUGCGAUACGUGGUGUGAAUUGCAGAAUCCCGCGAACCAUCGAAUCUUUGAACGCAAGUUGCGCCCGAGGCCAUCCGGCCGAGGGCACGCCUGCCUGGGCGUCACGCCCCGCGUCGCUCCCCCCGACUCGCCCCCUCGCCCGCCCGGGCCGGGGGGGAGGAUACACAGCGGUGGGAUGCGGAGAUUGGCCCACCGUGCGCGCUCCCGCGCGCGGCGGGCUGAAGAGCUCGGCCCUCCCGCCGGGCGAGUCGCGGCGAGUGGUGGAAGCCAGCGCCGCGCGCGCGCUCAUCGUCGUCGCGACCGCCCGCGUACGGAGGGAGGAAAGAGAGAGAGGGAACCCAGCUGCGAGCGAGCGAGGGACGGCGCACGCGAACUCCGUAGGAAUUGCGGCGCCGCCGCCGCCGUCGCCGCUCCGACCGCGACCCCAGGUCAGGCGGGGCCACCCGCUGAGUUUAAGCAUAUCAAUAAGGCGGAGGAA
rnacentral:rRNA from 1 species